GAUUAAUUUUUGGUGUGUGAUGUGUUGAGAAUGAUUUCAAAAGGCUUAUUGAUUCAUUUUGAUGUUGUAUCACGUUUGUGUGUGGAUGAUGCAUUGUUAUGAAAAUGGUCAUCUCCUUAUUAUUUGUGUGAGCAUGUCAUUUGCAUUGGUUGUGUUAUGUGAACUGAGGAAGAAUAAGAAAUUAAAGAGGACGUACCAUUUCAAGGGACGAGUCGCGUGCCAAGAUGGAUAAUAUGAUUCGAGAGGUGUG
rnacentral:misc_RNA from 1 species